AACGAACGUUAGCGGCGCGCCUAACACAUGCAAGUCGAGCGAGAAAGGGCUCCGGCCCCGGUACAGCGGCGCACGGGUAAGUAACACGUAGGUAAUCUACCCCCAGGUGGUGGAUAACCUUCCGAAAGGAGGGCUAAUACAGCAUGAGACCACGACUCCGACAGGGGAUGAGGUCAAAGCCGGCCUCUUCAUGAAAGCUGGCGCCAGGGGAUGAGCCUGCGGCCCAUCAGCUAGUUGGUAGGGUAACGGCCUACCAAGGCGAAGACGGGUAGCUGGUCUGAGAGGAUAAUCAGCCCCACUGGAACGGAGACACGGUCCAGGCUCCUACGGGAGGCAGCAGUGGGGAAUCUUGCGGAAUGGGCGAAAGCCUGACGCAGCGACGCCGCGUGAGUGAUGAAGGCGCUCGGGUUGUAAAGCUCUGUGGAGGGGGACGAAUAAGGGUUGGCUAAUAUCCAGCUCGAUGACGGUACCCCUUUAGCAAGCACCGGCUAACUCUGGGCCAGCCGCCGCGUUAAUAC
rnacentral:rRNA from 1 species